rnacentral:rRNA from 1 species
UACGUAGGCAGCAAGCGUUGUUCGGAGUUACUGGGCGUAAAGAGUGCGUAGGCGGUGCCCUAAGUCUGUUGUGAAAUCUCCCGGCUUAACUGGGAGGGUGCGGUGGAAACUGGGGGGCUUGAGUGUGGGAGAGGUUAGCGGAAUUCCUGGUGUAGCGGUGAAAUGCGUAGAUAUCAGGAGGAACACCGGUGGUGUAGACGGCUAACUGGACCACGACUGACGCUGAGGCACGAAAGCGUGGGUAGCAAACAGG